AUUAUUUCUCACACACGCCAUUUUCACAUCGAAAGGAGCAACCAAACUCGAGAAGACAUUAUUUCACACACGCCAUUUUCAAUCGAAAGCAACAACCAAAAUCACUCCAGAAGAUGAAAUCAUUGAGGCAAUUGGCAUCCAUGUCCAAUGAAGAAAAAGAACUGCUUAGUAAGUACCACAAAGCUCUAAAUGAACAGCAGAUGCUAGUCCUGAAAUAAUCGAAUUUAGUUAUCAUGUAGUCACUACAGUCGAAUAUGUGAAGAUUUUGGCUAGAGUUGCAAAUAUGGAGCCAAGACUCAUCAAAAAUGUGCUCAUCGUCCAGGACGAUGAAAGAGUGAAAAAGGACGCUCUUAUGAAAGAUGAUGAGGGUUUCUUCCAGCUAUUUGUGUUGUGUUAAGUAUAAUGUAAUAUAGUAGCAAGUAAUUAAUUUGUGAUUAGAAAGUCUGGUAUUAGUGUCUACUUAGUAGUCGGUAUUAGUAUUGUUACUUGUUUAUAUUAAAGAGAAAACACAGAACUUCUCCAACGUAGGAAUUUUUCUCUCUGACUGAUCAUCUCUAUAUGAAAAACAUAAAAAUUAGGAAAUUUAAUUGGUGAAAGAUUAAUUUUAUUUUCU